CUUGGGAGGCUGAGGCAGGAGAAUCGCUUGAAACCAGGCGGCAGAGGUUGCAGUGAGUCAAGAUCACGCCACUGCAAUUCAGCCUGGGUGACAGAGCAAAACUCUGUCUCAAAAAUAAAAGGGGGAAAUAUUCGAUUAAUAAACAACAGCCUCACAUGUGCUCACCACUGGGUUGAAGCAAAGCCUUCUUCCAAAAGCAAAAAUUGGAAAAAUAUGCUACCGACAGACUGCCCCUAAAGGUAAUAUUAAACAGGGACUCCAAAGGCAGAAGAGAAGCUGACCCAAUGCGACAUGAAAAUUCAGGAAGGACACAACAGCGGUGAGAACUCAAGAUAAUGUGAGUAAUUGUAAAUACAUAUUGACCUUAUAAAACGAGUCAUUGCCAAAUUUGAUCUGGUGACCUGUAUAAAAUGUCAGCUUCUGAGGGGAGAACACUGUCCACAAUAACAACAAGGCUGUACACAUAGGCAUGGUGGCCUUGGGGAGCGUUUGCCAGGCUGCAAAAGCCACCUCGCAGGUACGAUGAAGAACUGGCCCGGGGUGACAGGGCUGACCGGGAGCUGAGAAGUCGUCAGGGCCAGUCUCUGUGGCCCAGAGCAGGCCGAUAGAGAGAUCGGGGAGAGCUGUCCUCACCACCUGGAAGUGAGUCCCACCCAGACCUUAUCAAAACUACUCACUCCACCUGGGCCGCUGCUGAAGCCCUAUUUUGAAAUUUCCCUUUUCCAGAGCUUUUUUCCUGUCCUAAGCCCCAUAAAUAAAUGAAGGCACUUCUUUGGAAGGUUAUGGAGUCUGUUUGACUAGUGCUAAAGGAAACAAUUCACGCAGAUGUAUAAAACUUGCUUUUUAAAAAAAAAUUUAACCUAAGCAGAAUUUUCAUAUUAAAAACUCACUUUUUUUGACAGAAAGUAACAGCUUCAGCAUAUAAUUUGAU
rnacentral:lncRNA from 1 species